rnacentral:rRNA from 1 species
CAAGGAAUUUUCCCCAAUGGGCGCAAGCCUGAGGGAGCAACGCCGCGUGCAGGAUGACGGCUUUCGGGUUGUAAACUGCUUUUGCGUGGGACGAUAACGACGGUACCACGCGAAUAAGCCCCGGCUAACUCCGUGCCAGCAGCCGCGGUAAUACGGAGGGGGCGAGCGUUGUUCGGAAUUACUGGGCGUAAAGGGCGCGUAGGCGGUCCGUUGCGUUAGGUGUGAAAGCCCUGGGCUCAACCUGGGAGGUGCACUUAAUACGGGCGGACUGGAAUCCGGCAGAGGAUGGUGGAAUUCCCAGUGUAGAGGUGAAAUUCGUAGAUAUUGGGAAGAACACCGAUGGCGAAGGCAGCCAUCUGGGCCGGCAUUGACGCUGAGGCGCGAAAGCGUGGGGAGCAAACAGGAUUAGAUACCCCCGUAGUCC